CUCCCAGCCAAUCCUCGCGCUUCAGUGGCGCUCCGCCGGGAGGCGGGGCCCCGGCUGCGCGCCGUCUGGUGAUGGGCUGGGGGCGGGGCUUCAUGCGCGUCACAGGGGGCGUGGUCCCGGCGGCGGAGCGCGGGCGGAAAGGCUGUGAGCUGGCCCUGGGCGGUGAGCGGGAUUUUCCGUGGAGCCGUUUACGCAGGCUACGCAAGCAGUUCAGACAUGGCGUCUGUCAGCUGAAGGGCAGGUGGUCUGCCGGCCCGUGUGGCCCAGGGCUGCCGGCAUGCCCCGUCUCCGGGCAGGGGCCUGUCCUGAGCAGGCCUGCCUCUGGUGGACUCAUGCUCUUAAGCUCCUGCUACAUCUACUCAGCGUUAGGUCAUCACAUCGUAAGAACCUACUCAGUUACUGCCGGAUGACUGAGGUGAGGCCGUGGGCUCCAGAUGCUGACUGAUGCCCGGGACAGGCAGAAAUACAUGUGAGCCUGCAUGGACCACUUCCUUGGUGCUUCUGGAAGCCUGGGCGAGAUGAGGACACUCCAGGAACUGCCCAUCUGCCUGUGAGACAGGCUUCACGGGGGGCACCACCUGAACUGAAUCCUGCAAGGAGCCCCAGGAGGGAAGCUCAGAGUCUGGGGAGAGCGGGCCUCACCACAAGGUGGGAAAGCACUGCUCUGAGGCCAGGGUCCCCGGCACAGUGGCUGGCAGGUUGGACAGGCCCAGUCACAGUGGGCUCCGUGUGCCAGGCCAGGUGCUUCUUCUGGAUACGUGGGAAGACAUGGCACGGGACGGGCUGCUGUAGGAAGCCCUCUGGCAGCACGUGAGGCGGCUGCCCCACGUGUGCUUUGGUCUCGGCCGGCUGUGGCCGUGCCUUCCUCCGCUGCUGCUCUCCUGCAGAGACUGUGGUCCGUGUCACACCCGGUCACUGGCCUGGCGAGACACCAGCGACCACACUGGCUCCACAGUCACAGCACUCGCCCAGGACACAGGCUUUCUCUGCUCCGACUCUAACCUGAGGCUGAAACUGCUUCGGAACAGGUUGCAGCAAGGCUCUCUGUCCCCAGCGCUGCCCCCGGCUGUGGCUCCCAACUCCAUCCUGGCUGCGGGAAGGGAGGACGCAGGUGAACAGGGGUACUGAGGGUGGAACAAAUUUUUAAAAAGAGCUGUUUGGUAAUGACUGGCUUAAGAGACAAAACAGUCUUUGGCCAUCAAGCACCACGCAUCUCCUGGGAACGAUGCGUCGUGCGGAAGGUGAGGGCUGACACCGAGGCAGUGAGGAUCCAGCACCAAAAAAUACAAUACAGACGAGUGAGUCCUGCCAGGCGGACAGGAGACCCAACAGGCCUCACUCGGGUACCAGAGCAGGGGGAGCAUCCCUGGAUGUGACCUGUGGGGGGCCACGCGAGGUGCCGGCCCACGCGCAGCCAGUGCUAACCCUCUCUCCGGGCCCCUGGCCCCGGCCCAGCAUUUGUCCUGGACUGCAGUGCACGGGGCCUGUGCGUAGUCUCCCCUCCAGCGCCGGGAACUCUUGGGACGUGGAUUAUUUCUUCCAACUGGCCAUAAGUUAAAAACCAAACCAAACCAAAAGGAACAGUGAAUUUACCGGGAGGGCCCUGGCCCAGUGCAUUUGGUAAUGAAAGUGAAUGAGACCUAAGAUGGAUAUUUAAAAAGAGAUUAUAAUUCAGUUUAUACAGCUUGCCAUGAAUAAACAGACAUUCUUAACAAUGCAAGGUCCCCAAAGGCCUCUAUCACGGAGUUUUUUGAAGAAUUUUUUCAAACUACAAUUCUUUCAAUAAAUCAAUUUUGGUAACCCAUGGAACCCCAGGGCAUGAGCGGUAACUUCAGCAGGUGAUACAAACCCCUCUGCAAUGGCCCCUCCAACCUGCUGGAUUUGCUUGAGGCAGGCCAUGGGAGCACGGGGAAGAAGGGUGUGACAGGUUUUCUCAUUUUCCGAGUUCUUCUUUGGCAAAGGAAAACAUUAUUUUACUAAAACUAUGUAUUAGCAUCUUACUAGACACUUUAUGAAGAAUAAUGAACUUGUAACAAACCUGACUUUCCAUUUUUAAGUGGAUGGAAGUGAAACAACCCCGGAACAGAUGGCAGCACCUGGGAAAGGGUCUCCUUAAAGCUGCCAUUGGUGGUUAACGUCUUUUUUAUUUGUUAUUUAUUUAUGCCUGUGUUGGGUCUUCAUUGCUGUGCGCGGGCGUCUCAUUGCGGUGGCUUCUCUUGUUGCGGACACGGGCUCUAGGCUUGCGGGCUCUAGAGCGCAGGAUCAGGAGUUAUGGCGCACGGGCUUAGUUGCUCCACAGCAUGUGGGAUCGUCCCAGACCAGGGCUCGAACCUGCAUCCCCUGUGGUGGCUAACAUCUUGUUGGACUUUUUUUUUUUUUUUUUGCGGUACACAGGCCUCUCACCGCUGUGGCCUCUCCUGUUGCGGAGCACAGGCUCUGGACGCGCAGGCUCAGCGGUCAUGGCUCACAGGCCCAGCUGCUCUGCGGCACGUGGGAUCUUCCUGGACCGGGGCACGAACCCGUGUCCCCCGCGUCGGCAGGCGGACUCCCAGCCACUGCGCCACCAGGGAAGCCCCUGGGCUUUUUAUAUGAAGAGAAUUCUGCUUGAUCUGAUAAUCAAAUCAGCAGAAAGUCCAAUGGUAACAGGAAUUUGGUUUUUUUCACAGCUGUCUUUAAAGAAAGAAGGGCGGGGCUCACGGAGCAACCCAGGGAACAGUGGGAUUUGUCCCCUGAAGCCAUGUAACACAUUGUGGUGAUCACCACUGCCUGGGAGCUUGCCCUCCGAGAUUACUUUGCUAAAGCUCCAGCAUCCGGCAGGACUGCUGAAUCAGCUUCUGCUGCCCUAAGACAGAGACACGCUGCCUCCGCCCCCAGACGUCCUGAGAGCGGCCUGGCUGUGGCCAAGCCACGGGGAGGGGCGCUGGCACCUCCCGAAGUUGUGAAGUCUUCCUAGACGAGUGUGCAAGCCCCGGGUAACGAAGGGCAGAGGAAGACGUGCACGGACACUUUGGAGCACUGAAACCGGCAAACACAAAGGGACACGUUCCUCUCAAAGACUACAUUCAAAAUAGUUUAGCUACUGCAAAUGGUCUGAAUAGGGGAACGUUUUAACAUGAAGUUUGUACUGCAGGCUUCUCCAGCCACGUGCAAGGCCUGACUUAUCUGAGGUCGGUCGAUCAGACAAGCAGGCCUCUGAGGCCCUCAGUGCUUGGAGGUGAAGGCAGGUAAAGCAGGGCAUCUUGUGAAGCUACCCAUAACCCAUGACACACCGCUCCCUGGGGCCAGCGUUCUGCAACAACGCACAGUGGCUGAAAAGAACACACAGGAGGUGCGAAAACCAGGACUGCAGGGAAAGAGGAGACACAAAGCCGGGAGGUCAGUGCUCAACACCCAGGUUACACUCGGCCCAGCUCCUUAGAAAGGCUGCAGAGGAGGUAGCCUGCAGGUGGUGUGUUUGAGGGAAGGGGAGAGGCGAGAUGUGAGCCUUCUCCUUCUGAGAGGGCUACUCUGGGGAGCUGUUUCCUUCUAAGUGUUCCUGAAAAACACGCAGCUGACAUACCCCAUUUUAAAGAGUAGAGUCGUGGGGAUCCACCUGACCUUCAGAGUCAGAGCUGUGCCACAGCGUCAUGCCCCAGGCCUGCCCCACCCCACCCGGCCCCAGGGCUAGUCUGGCUGGCCAGACGCUAGCAUCCCACCCCAACCCCCGCAAGUUAGAAAUCAUCAACUGUCUCUGGGCUGGUGGGGCACAUGGACGGCAGCCAGAAAUGUUACUUUGGCCUAAGAGUGGGAAAAAGACCCCAGGAAAGCAAAAGUCCUGGAGGUCAAUGUCCCGCAGCCACCAAAAGGUGCCACGGGCCCCGCUGGCCAAGCACCCAGCACAGUACCACUGGCCCACGGAGAUGGGCCAAGCUGGGUGGGCUCCUUAACAAGAUGGGAGGGGGCAGGGAGGUAAAACGCCUCUGAGAUCGCCACUGGACAGAAAGGGAUGAUCGUUACGUGGAAAUGUCAUUUUUGAAGAACUGCUUGACCAUGUAUUUUUCUAUACUGUGUGAGGUCAGAAUUAACAAGGGAUCCUCUCCCUUGUUUUCUAUAUUGUGUGAGGUCAGAAUUAACAAGGGAUCCUCUCCCUUUCAGUCUGGCCCAGAGGGCAAAGUCUUCACCUGCAUCAUACACGUUUCCAUUUCACUACGGGCGCUGCCAUCAUUUCUUCCACCUCUGUCCGCACCACCAGGGGAGGGUGCCGCCGGGAGAGCUGGGGGUUGUGAAAUGACUCGGGCUAGAGCUGGCAGAGAGCAGCAUGCCCUGGGUCACAGGGGCACCAAUCAGGCGUGUCGAUGGCCAGCUGCUACCCUCCUGACCCCCUAGCAGAGGAUGGCUCUGAAGCCAGUUGGUGAGUUGAAGUAUGUGAACUGGAGCGCCCCUCCCAGGGUGACUGUGCCUGACAGGCUCUGGGCCACAGAGACGCCACCAUGCCCUUAACCAGCCCCAUCCUUCCUGCUCUGCACACCCGACGGAGUAGCCCGUCAGCCAGGGUCACCCUCCGGUCUAAUGGGCAUGAUUGCUGGUUACAAAUGGGAAGCAUGGCCCGAAUUCCUCCCCCGCUGAUCUCCAGGACAGACUGAUCUCAUAAUCUGGGAUCACGUCAUAAAUUAAGAAAAACGAGCCAGACCGGUUAGCUGGUAGACGGGGGAAUCCAGAGGCCUAAGGAGGCUGGCUGUCAGGUACACUGGAGCGUGUUAGGUGAGCGGCAGACAAAACCAUACAGAUAUUUAUUCUGCAUUUGAUUCCAAGGGUUCAGAUGUCGAACGCUGUAAUAAAGCCACUCUCCUCUCCUCGGUGUUCUGACUCUGAAGUGCACUGACCUGACCCAGGAAUGGCUGAGUGGCACCACUGAUUCCUGGCCCUCCAAGGCCUGGGAGACUCAACCCCGAGACGGGGCCCAGAAUCAGAGAACUCGGAAGGCCACAUGGGUGGUCUCAGUGGCAUCAGACAUUGUUUGGGCCGAUUCCUGAGGUAUCUCUCCUGUCCCCAGAACACGAGGGUCUGGCUCUCUUGCGCAGUGGCUCACAGACACAUGACGGCAGAAACACCAAGCCCCUGGCGGGGCUGCGCUCCAGCCAGUUUCCUCUGGGCAGCAUGUGAGAAAGGGCUCCCUGCUAUUAUUAUUAUUAUUUUUUAGUUCAUCCAGAUCUAGCUUCAAAGGGUCCCUAAACUUCUUUGCCCCAUCUGGACCUGAAAACAGGAGCUGAUUUUCACAAGCCAAAUUCUCAUUGCAUUUGGACAGAACGAAUACUGUGUCUUUUAUAUUUUCUUUGUAUUUCUCUUCAAUAGUUGCUUGACCCAACAUCUUUCUGUCUGCUCUAUACAAUGAAAAUACAAACUAAAUGAGAAUAGAAAAAAAUAAUUAAA